CCUACGGGUGGCAGCAGUGGGGAAUAUUGGGCAAUGGGCGCAAGCCUGACCCAGCAACGCCGCGUGAAGGAAGAAGGCUUUCGGGUUGUACACUUCUUUUGUCAGGGAAGAGUAGAAGACGGUACCUGACGAAUAAGCCACGGCUAACUACGUGCCAGCAGCCGCGGUAAUACGUAGGUGGCCAGCGUUGUCCGGAUUUACUGGGUGUAAAGGGCGUGUAGCCGGGUUGACAAGUCAGAUGUGAAAUCCUGCGGCUUAACCCCAGAACUGCAUUUGAAACUGUUGAUCUUGAGUACUGGAGAGGCAGGUGGAAUUCCUAGUGUAGCGGUGAAAUGCGUAGAUAUUAGGAGGAACACCAGUGGCGAAGGCGGUCUGCUGGACAGCAACUGACGCUGAGGAGCGAAAGCGUGGGUAGCAAACAGGAUUAGAUACCCCGGUAGUC
rnacentral:rRNA from 1 species